rnacentral:rRNA from 1 species
GUGUCAGCAGCCGCGGUAAUACGGAGGAUGCGAGCGUUAUCCGGAUUUAUUGGGUUUAAAGGGUGCGUAGGCGGACUUAUAAGUCAGCGGUGAAAGACUGUCGCUCAACGAUAGCAUUGCCGUUGAUACUGUAGAUCUUGAGUACAUUUGAGGUGGGCGGAAUGUGUAGUGUAGCGGUGAAAUGCUUAGAUAUUACACAGAACACCAAUUGCGAAGGCAGCUCACUAAACUGUAACUGACGCUGAGGCACGAAAGCGUGGGGAUCAAACAGGAUUAGAAACCCUAGUAGUCC